rnacentral:rRNA from 1 species
CCCUUAGAUGUUCUGGGCUGCACGCGUGCUACACUGAUAUUGCCAAUAGGUCAUUCUUAUCCGAAAUGGAUUGGGUAAUCAAGUAAUGAAAUUUCAUGCUUGGAAUCGGUAAUUGCAAUUUUAUCGUGAACGAGGAAUUCCUAGUAAGCACUAGUCAUCAGCUAAUGUUGAUUAUGUCCCUGCCCUUUGUACACACCGCCCGUCGCUACUACUGAUUGGGUGUUCAAGUGAGAUGCUUAGACCCUUGUUGCAUGGUUCAUUAUUGUGCUCCGAAAGGAAAAAGUUUCAAGCUUGAGUGUCUAGAGGAAGUAAAAGUCGUAACA